CGUGGAUCCCGCACAGUGGUACCCGUGUCCGCUUGCGCCGUCGGACCUUGUGGACUCGAUUGCUCUGCACCAGGGUUGAUUUUCUCCAUUCCUUACACGCGCUGCCAUGAUGACGUCAGACGCAGCAAAGGCCUUCAGUCACGCUACCGACGCAGAUAUCCAGGCAUUCUUCAUGAGCAUAGACAGUCUGUGUAAGAAGUACUCGAGGGAAACCUCCCAGAUUUUAGAAUUUCAAGAAAAACACAGGAAGAGAUUGUUAGCCUUCUAUAGAGAAAAGAUUUCUAGGUUGGAAGAAUCCCUUAGGAAGUCAGUGCUGCAGAUAGAACAACUGCAAAGGUAAGGCCCCCCACCCCCCAUGAGUGCACAGUCGAGGCACCCACUGCCACGUGCAUUGGUCAUCUGGCUCUCCAAGAUCGAGAAUGAAAGAUGACCGCAGAGGCAGAGGGAAGAGCUCGUUCAUUUACCAGAAACUUUCGUCAGAGCAAAAAUGCUGUGGGAAAACCGAAGGGAAGAAGGGAGACA
rnacentral:sRNA from 1 species